UUUUUUUUUUUUGUUUGAAUAUUACUGCGGCGAGAGAGAGGAGGAGGUGGAGGAGGAGAGAGAAAACAGCCCUCGACGAUGAAUGACCGCUAACUCCGUCCUCCUAGAGACCCUGCCUCUUUCUCGAGCUCCAUCUUUUUAAAUGGCCGGACUCCUGGCUCUCUAUUUCUGUUCUAAAAUUGGAACGACACCUGGAGGAGGAAACCGAGCUCUCCGCUCCCUCACGUUAUCUAAAAAUAGCAACUGUAAUUCCCUCUCUCUCUCUCUCAGUAUUUUCCUUUUUGUUAUCGGAGAUAUCCUGGAGAGAUUAGGGUGGACUUGAGGAGGAGAAGAAGGGAUUUUAUUUUGUCUUGUUUCCAAUCUCCAAGCCG
rnacentral:lncRNA from 1 species